GAAGUAGCAGGCAUACUGUCUAGGGGACGACUGCUCCACUUUUGCACCCUGCUCUAGGAGGAGGAGAUGGAUGUGGAGUAGGAGGUUGAGGAGGCGGUGACCAUGGCGAAGACGAUGCAUUCGGAUGUCUGCCCUGUAAACUUUCGAUGUUACUUUCUGCGCCUACCAUGAUGAUCAUGGGUAAUGGGGAAUCAGGGUUCGAUUCCAGAGAGGGAGUCUGAGAAACAGCUACCACAUCCAAGAAAGGCAGCAGACGCGCAAAUUACCCACUCCCGACGCGGGGAGGUAGUGAC